UCCUUAUGUCUACAAAGCCUCUAGGAUAUACAUGACAUAACUAGGGUCGGGAUAAACCCCCGCCCACACAUGACUCAUGUACAAUAACAAAACAUAAGGAACCGACUCAGAAAGCUCCGAAGCAAACUGGAGCUCACCAACAAUAGCUGUAUGACCUGGCUCCUACUUGUGCGGUGUAUGAGCUGAGGUACCUGUGCCUGCAGCAUGAAAUGCAGGUCCCCCGUGAGGGACGUCAGUACGAAAUAUGUACUGAGUAUGUAAAGCUGUAAAUAAUCACAUAUGAUAUAGGAGCUCAAUAGAAAUCAGAAACAAGUGAAUAAGUCGUAAUAGGAGUGGACCACACUUACUAGAACUUGUGACAACCUGUACAUUGUAUUUAUUCAAUCACUUUACCUUCGUUCUUAUCGUCUUUGUAAUCAUUACUGUACUGUACUGUGACCAUUAGGAUGCCUCCAGUACAUAUCAACUGGGAUCGACCCAUGCUAGGCUUAUGCCCCUGGGAUACCACCCAUAAACACAUGAAAUAGGGAUCGACCCAUGCUAGGCUUAUGCCCCUGGGAUACCACCCGAUAAGAGAGAACUUUCAUCACUUAGUUCAAUUAAUCUUUGAGAUUGUUAUUUCGGUCGUCACCACAUUUUUGAUACCUUGAAACAAUGAUACAUCAAUAGGAACCAAGUAAUAGACCUUCUAUACAAUAACGAUGUAAUAAAGACUCAUUGGUACAUCAACAAUGUGUUUCAGAAUCAUCAAUAUCACAACAAUGAAAUAAGAGCCUUUUGGUAUAUCAAUGAAACAUUUUGACACUUUAUAGAAUGGAAACAACUUCGUUGGUAACGUAGAACAAUACAUGUUUUUGGACAACCUCGGAAUCUUACUUGAUGGAACAUUGGUGUUUUCAUGCCAAAGAACAUUGUUAGAGUAUGCUUUACAUACCUCGUUGUAGAUUCAGAUACCAAUUCAACACAACUUCCCGCC
rnacentral:lncRNA from 1 species